GAUGAACGCUAGCGGCAGGCUUAACACAUGCAAGUCGAACGGCAGCACAGGUAGCAAUACUGGGUGGCGAGUGGCGCACGGGUGCGUAACGCGUAUGCAACCUACCUCUAUCUGGGAGAUAGCCCGAAGAAAUUCGGAUUAAUACCCCAUAAUAUAUGUCUUUCGCAUGUUAGACAUAUUAAAGCUUUGGCGGAUAGAGAUGGGCAUGCGUGACAUUAGCUAGUUGGUAAGGUAACGGCUUACCAAGGCUACGAUGUCUAGGGGGUCUGAGAGGAUUAUCCCCCACACUGGUACUGAGACACGGACCAGACUCCUACGGGAGGCAGCAGUGAGGAAUAUU
rnacentral:rRNA from 1 species